CCUACGGGAGGCAGCAGUGGGGGAUAUUGCACAAUGGGGGGAACCCUGAUGCAGCGACGCCGCGUGGGUGAAGAAGCGCCUCGGCGCGUAAAGCCCUGUCAGCAGGGAAGAAAAUGACGGUACCUGAAGAAGACGCCCCGGCUAACUACGUGCCAGCAGCCGCGGUUAUACGUAGGGGGCAAGCGUUAUCCGGAUUUACUGGGUGUAACGGGGGCGCAGACGGCGAUGCAAGCCAGGAGUGAAAGCCCGGGGCCCAACCCCGGGACUGCUCUUGGAACUGCGUGGCUGGAGUGCAGGAGGGGCAGGCGGAAUUCCUGGUGUAGCGGUGAAAUGCGUAGAUAUCAGGAGGAACACCGGUGGCGAAGGCGGCCUGCUGGACUGCAACUGACGUUGAGGCCCGAAAGCGUGGGGAGCAAACAGGAUUAGAUACCCUUGUAGUC
rnacentral:rRNA from 1 species